CGGGCGCGUGGCGGGUGGUGCCCGACGGCGUCCGCGACGUCGUCCGGGAGCGCCUCGCCCGGCUGCCGGAGUCCUCGGCCCUGGUGCUCGGC
rnacentral:tRNA from 1 species